UCGGGGAAAUUUUACUUUUACACUUUGUUUGAUACCACUAUUCAAUUUUACCACCAAUUUAGGGACAUUUUCAUAAAUACCACUUUCAUUAAUGAACAAAACACAAUAGUACCCUUACCUUAUCUUCUCCUCAAUCAUCGACUCUUCCUCUCUCUUUUUGAGAUCCAUUUUCUCUCAGACUUACCGUCGAGAUCCGCCGUCUCCGUCGAGAUCCGCCGUCUCCGUCGAGAUCCGCUGUCUCCGUCGAGAUCUGCCGUCUCUGUCGAGAUCCACCGUCUCCGUCGAGAUCCGUCAUCUCUCUCUCUCACACAACCGGCGACGAAAACGGAUUACAGAGAAUCGCGAUUCAAAGCCUUCAAAUGUUGAUUCCUGUUCAAGAUUCACAACUCGUACGUCUCUAAUUCUUGUAUUCUUUUGUUUGUUUCGAGUAAAUAUUUGAUUUUGUUCUUUCUCUUAUCAAAAAAUCAAAAAGGUUUGCUUUAAACUUCUCAUUUGAACAUGUCGAUCUAAGAGAAAC
rnacentral:lncRNA from 1 species